rnacentral:rRNA from 1 species
UAGGGAAUCUUCGGCAAUGGACGAAAGUCUGACCGAGCAACGCCGCGUGAGUGAAGAAGGUUUUCGGAUCGUAAAACUCUGUUGUUAGAGCAGAACAAGGACGUUAGUAACUGAACGUCCCCUGACGGUAUCUAACCAGAAAGCCACGGCUAACUACGUGCCAGCAGCCGCGGUAAUACGUAGGUGGCAAGCGUUGUCCGGAUUUAUUGGGCGUAAAGCGAGCGCAGGCGGUUUCUUAAGUCUGAUGUGAAAGCCCCCGGCUCAACCGGGGAGGGUCAUUGGAAACUGGGAGACUUGAGUGCAGAAGAGGAGAGUGGAAUUCCAUGUGUAGCGGUGAAAUGCGUAGAUAUAUGGGGGAACACCAGUGGCGAAGGCGGCUAUCUGGUCUGUAACAGACGCUGAGGCUCGAAAGCGUGGGGAGCAAACAGG